ACAUGCGAUAUUCGACACACGCUUCCAACCUGAGCUGCUCAGCCAUUCGUCCGCCCGGCGUAUGCAUCAAAGUAUACAAGGCGUACUGAGAACAAGUAGAAGAAAGAAGGAAACACAGAAGAUACUUCAAACUUCGAUCCAGAUUGUACCGCGUGGUUCAGCAGAUCCAAGCUCAGAGCUAUUUAACAUUAGCCGGAUCCAGUAUUAACUUGAGUGAUAUGGGGAAGCACGAGCAAAUCACUGGGCCAUUCCACGUACAGACUUCUCGCUUCAGUGAAAUCUCUAUGAAUGUACGGCAGCUACCACAAGCGUAUAUCUGUAGUGAUAAGCCCAAAUAUAAGCAGAUGAUUGGAGCGAAACACCGAAAAAGCAAAUGGUUAGCAAUAUAGCGCCACUAUGUUACCCAUAGAAGCACCACCAUGAGUGGUACAAAUGUAUUGUUGUUGCAGGAAGCUUCAGUGAUGCACAAUGAGAGGUUUCUAUUUGUUGCGGCCAACGUUUAUUCCUGUUUUACGCUUGUCUUGCCAACAAUUCCGUGCAGUGUUUAUAAUGGAAGUUUUACAAGCUGGCCCAGCCGAAUGCGUUGUGUUGAAGGACACGCUUGUACUAGUAUGCAGGAUAGCCUAAAUUGCAGUUCCCUAAUAUCACACUGUUCUAGCAAGCCGCUUUGCAUUUAUUAUUAUUUUGUAACAAUUCACUCAAUGGAUUGCUUACAGACUAGCUUUUUGAGACCAUAUUCUAUAAACGUAAUAUUGGACGGAACCAAAUGGGCUACCAUAUAUAAGACGUUAUGGCAAAACGUAUCUCCAAUUGGUCGAAAUUUUAACAAGUUCAUGCACUACGAAUCAUGUUUUUUACAUUCAAAUAAACGGUACUUUAAACUACUGGAAAUUGGAAAAACAGCAUGCUAAAUAAUAACGGAAAGCGGCCAGACUUUUCCAGUUAUAAUAAGAUGGAUCACGUUUAUAAACCUUGUACCUGGUUGUAGCAUCUGGUUUUAGUUUUCCAUAAGUUUGGGUGCUUAUGUUGAAGUAAA